rnacentral:tRNA from 1 species
GCCUCCGUGGCCUAAUGGAUAAGGCAUCGGUCUCCUAAACCGGGGAUUGUGGGUUCGAAUCCCACCGGAGGUA